CGAAAGCCUGACGGAGCAACGCCGCGUGUGGGAAGAAGGCUCUUGGGCUGUCAACCGCUUUUCUCAGGGAAGAAGUCCUGACGGUACCUGAGGAAUCAGCCUCGGCUAACUCCGUGCCAGCAGCCGCGGUAAUACGGAGGAGGCAAGCGUUAUCCGGAAUUAUUGGGCGUAAAGCGUCCGCAGGGGGCGCAUCAAGUCUGCUGUUAAAGGUCGGAGCUAAACUCCGGUAGAGCAGUGGAAACUGGCGCGCUAGAGGGCGACAGGGGUAGAGGGAAUUCCCGGUGUAGCGGUGAAAUGCGUAGAGAUCGGGAAGAACAUCGGUGGCGAAAGCGCUCUACUGGGCCGCAACUGACACUCAGGGACGAAAGCUAGGGGAGCG
rnacentral:rRNA from 1 species